rnacentral:tRNA from 2 species
GUAAGUAUAGUUUAACCAAAAUAUUAGAUUGUGAUUCUAAAGACAGGAGUUAGAGUCCCCUUACUCACC